AUUGAACGCUGGCGGCAGGCCUAAUACAUGCAAGUCGAACGAGUGGCGGACGGGUGAGUAAUGUCUGGGAAACUGCCUGAUGGAGGGGGAUAACUACUGGAAACGGUAGCUAAUACCGCAUACCAUCAGAUGUGCCCAGCUGGGCUUAGCUAGUAGGUGGGGUAAGGGCUCACCUAGGCGGCGAUCCCUAGCUGGUCUGAGAGGAUGACCAGCCACACUUGAACUGAGACACGGUCCAGACUCCUACGGUAGGCAGCAGUGGGGAAUAUUACAAAAUGGGCGCAAGCCUGAUGCAGCCAUGCCGCGUGUAUGAAGAAGGCCUUCGGGUUGUAAAGUACUUUCAGCGGGGAGGCGUUACCCGCAGAAGAAGCACCGGCUAACUCCGUGCCAGCAGCCGCGGUAAUUC
rnacentral:rRNA from 1 species